rnacentral:lncRNA from 1 species
UGACAUUGCAAGUAUCAAAGAUUGACAUCACUUUUAUCUUAGACAGGUUGACAUCAGUUUUAUCUAAGACAGGUUGACAUCAGUUUUAUCUUAGACAGGUUGACAUCAGUUUUAUCUAAGACAGGUUGACAUCACUUUUAUCUUAGACAGGUUGACAUCACUUUUAUCUUAGACAGUUGACAU